GACGGAGGGUGCUAGCGUUGUUCGGAAUCACUGGGCGUAAAGGGCGCGUAGGCGGUCCCUCGCGUCGGACGUGAAAUCCCCGGGCUUAACCUGGGAACUGCGCUUGUUACUGAUAGGCUUGAGUGUGGCAGAGGGGGGUGGAAUUCCACGUGUAGCAGUGAAAUGCGUAGAGAUGUGGAGGAACACCGAUGGCGAAGGCAGCCCCCUGGGCUAACACUGACGCUCAUGCACGAAAGCGUGGGGAGCAAACAGG
rnacentral:rRNA from 1 species